GMAUGGCAGUUGCGCAGAGUAUGCCUKAGUGCCUUCGGGAACUCGUGAGACAGGUGCUGCAUGGCUGUCGUCAGCUCGUGMGKRRAAUGUUGGGUUAAGUCCCGCAACGAGCGCAACCCUUAUCCUUUGUUGCCAGCGGUCCGGCCGGGAACUCAAAGGAGACUGCCAGUGAUAAACUGGAGGAAGGUGGGGAUGACGUCAAGUCAUCAUGGCCCUUACGACCAGGGCUACACACGUGCUACAAUGGCAUAUACAAAGAGAAGCGACCUCGCGAGAGCAAGCGGACCUCAUAAAGUAUGUCGUAGUCCGGAUUGGAGUCUGCAACUCGACUCCAUGAAGUCGGAAUCGCUAGUAAUCGUGGAUCAGAAUGCCACGGUGAAUACGUUCCCGGGUCUUGUACACACCGA
rnacentral:rRNA from 2 species